rnacentral:rRNA from 1 species
AUUGAACGCUGGCGGCAGGCCUAACACAUGCAAGUCGAACGAGUGGCGGACGGGUGAGUCAUGUCUGGGAAACUGCCUGAUGGAGGGGGAUACCUACUGGAAACGGUAGCUAAUACCGCAUACCAUCCGAUGUUCCCAGAUGGGAUUAGCAAGUUGGGGGGGUACCGGCUCACCAAGGCGACGAUCCCUAGAUGGUCUGAGAGGAUGACCAGCCACACUGGAACUGAGACACGGUCCAGACUCCUACGGGAGGCAGCAGUGGGGAAUAUUGCACAAUGGGCGCAAGCCUGAUGCAGCCAUGCCGCGUGUAUGAAGAAGGCCGUCGGGGUGUAAAGUACUUUCAGCGGGGAGGCGUUACCCGCAGCGGAAGCACCGGCUAACUCCGUGCCAGCAGCCGCGGUAAUAC